GGGCCCGCACAAGCGGUGGAGCAUGUGGUUUAAUUCGAUGAUACGCGAGGAACCUUACCAGGGCUUAAAUGUAAGUUGCAUUAGUUAGAGAUAGCUAUUUCUUCGGACUACUUACAAGGUGCUGCAUGGUUGUCGUCAGCUCGUGCCGUGAGGUGUCAGGUUAAGUCCUAUAACGAGCGCAACCCCUGUUGUUAGUUGCCAUCGAGUCAUGUCGGGAACUCUAACAAGACUGCCGGUGCAAACCGUGAGGAAGGUGGGGAUGACGUCAAAUCAUCACGGCCCUUACGUCCUGGGCUACACACGUGCUACAAUGGCCGGUACAGAGAGCAGCCACACCGUAAGGUGGAGCGAAUCUACAAAACCGGUCUCAGUUCGGAUCGGGGUCUGCAACUCGACCCCGUGAAGCUGGAAUC
rnacentral:rRNA from 1 species